UGGAGCAGUGAUGAGUCCUACCGACCUGUAAUGAUUUGCCAAAAUGAUCGCAAAUCUUUUAGAACAUCAACAUCUAAGGGGCUGAGUUCCA